AUGGCCUGGACUCCUCUCCUGCUCAGCCUCCUCACUCUCUGCCAAGGUGCUUGGGCCCACUUUGUGCUGACCCAGCCAGCAUCAGUGUCAGGCUCUCUGGGUCAGUCAGUCACAAUCUCCUGCACUCGAAGCAGUGGCAACAUGGAUAGCAGCUACGUGCAAUGGUACCAACAGCAUCAGGGCCAGACCACCAGGCUCAUCAUCUAUGACUGGAGUAGCCGUCCCUCAGGCAUUCCAGAGAGGUUCUCUGGCUCCAAAGACACCUCAGCCAACUCUGCCUCUCUGACCAUCUCUGGUCUCCAGGCUGAGGAUGAGGCUGACUGCUACUGUCAGUCCUCUUACUAUAAAAGUGGCUACUAUUAG